rnacentral:piRNA from 2 species
UAGACUGUGAGCUCCUUGAGGACAGGGACAGU